CAUUGGCAAAGUUUAGAAAAUUAUCUUGAAACCAACUUGGAAGCCUUCUACAGAGACUCUUCGCUUCUGCGCGCCACGAGUCGGCUCCCUGCUCCCAGAAACAGGAAGCUUCUCUUACCUACAUGAAGGAUGCUGACAAAGGUGGUCAUGUCUCUCCCAGAGAAGAAGCAAAACCUCUUGUGAAGAUGAAGAUCAAGGCCAAGAAUAACUGUUUCUUCCAGCGCUACCAACUGGUCAUUUAACACCAGUGAUUGUUUUGGUGAGGAGAUUUUACAAAUCAAGAAGUCCUGAG